rfam:Blastocystis sp. NandII AV274scaffold_47, whole genome shotgun sequence.
UGGCCUCAAACUAAUGAGUAAGGAAACUAACGCUUCCACUGAUAAUGGAGGCAUCGUAGAUUUACGGUCUAUUUUUGUAGGGUAUGGAACGGCCUAGGUUUGGUGCUCCGCCUCUUUGCGGAGUUGAACUCUGGCUGGUCCCC